rnacentral:rRNA from 1 species
GAUGAACGCUGGCGGCGUGCCUAAUACAUGCAAGUCGAGCGAACGGACGAGAAGCUUGCUCCUCUGACGUUAGCGGCGGACGGGUGAGUAACACGUGGAUAACCUACCUAUAAGACUGGGAUAACUUCGGGAAACCGUAGCUAAUACCGGAUAAUAUUUUGAACCGCAUGGUUCAAUAGUGAAAGACGGUUUUGCUGUCACUUAUAGAUGGAUCCGCGCUGCAUUAGCUAGUUGGUAAGGUAACGGCUUACCAAGGCAACGAUGCAUAGCCGACCUGAGAGGGUGAUCGGCCACACUGGAACUGAGACACGGUCCAGACUCCUACGGGAGGCAGCAGUAGGGAAUCUUCCGCAAUGGGCGAAAGCCUGACGGAGCAACGCCGCGUGAGUGAUGAAGGUCUUCGGAUCGUAAAACUCUGUUAUUAGGGAAGAACAAAUGUGUAAGUAACUAUGCACGUCUUGACGGUACCUAAUCAGAAAGCCACGGCUAACUACGUG